GCCGACGUGGCGGAAUUGGUAGACGCGCUAGCUUGAGGGGCUAGUGGGGGAAACCUCGUGCCGGUUCGAGUCCGGCCGUCGGCACCA
rnacentral:tRNA from 1 species